rnacentral:rRNA from 1 species
AGAGUUUGAUCCUGGCUCAGAAUCAACGCUGGCGGCGUGCCUAACACAUGCAAGUCGAACGCGAAAAGGGCUUCGGCUCUUAGUAGAGUGGCGAACGGGUGAGUAACACGUGGGUGACCUACCUUCGAAUGGGGGAUAACGUCCCGAAAGGGACGCUAAUACCGCAUAACAUCCUGCUUUUGAACAGGUGGAGAUCAAAGCCGGGGAUCGCAAGACCUGGCGUUUGAAGAGGGGCCCGCGUCUGAUUAGCUAGUUGGUGAGGUAACGGCCCACCAAGGCGACGAUCAGUAUCCGGCCUGAGAGGGCGGACGGACACACUGGGACUGAGACACGGCCCAGACUCCUACGGGAGGCAGCAGUGGGGAAUUGUUCGCAAUGGGCGCAAGCCUGACGACGCAACGCCGCGUGGAGGAUGAAGGUCUUCGGAUUGUAAACUCCUGUUGCUCGGGACGAAAAGCUUCGACCUAACACGUCGAAGUCUGACGGUACCGGGUGAGGAAGCCCCGGCUAACUCCGUGCCAGCAGCCGCGGUAAU